rnacentral:rRNA from 1 species
CCUACGGGAGGCUGCAGUGAGGAAUAUUGGUCAAUGGACGAGAGUCUGAACCAGCCAAGUAGCGUGAAGGAUGACUGCCCUAUGGGUUGUAAACUUCUUUUAUAUGGGAAUAAAACGUUCCACGUGUGGGAUUUUGUAUGUACCAUAUGACUAAGGAUCGGCUAACUCCGUGCCAGCAGCCGCGGUAAUACGGAGGAUCCGAGCGUUAUCCGGAUUUAUUGGGUUUAAAGGGUGCGUAGGUGGAUGGUUAAGUCAGGUGUGAAAGGUUGCGGCUCAACCGUAAAAUUGCAGUUGAAACUGGCAGGCUUGAGUACAGUAGAGGUAGGCGGAAUGCGUGGUGUAGCGGUGAAAUGCUUAGAUAUCACGAAGAACUCCGAUUGCGAAGGCAGUUCACUGGACUGCAACUGACACUGAGGCUCGAAAGUGUGGGUAUCAAACAGGAUUAGAUACCCCUGUAGUC